GAGGCAAUAACAGGUCUGUGAUGCCCUUAGUUAUCCUAGGUCGCACGCGCCAUACAAUGUGGCGCACAACGAGUUUCCUAGGCCGAUAGGAUUGUCUCUUAGCCAGGAUCUUGAGGGAUCCGCGUGACAUCAUGGGCAUGCAGAUGACUGCCUCGAUCAUGAGUCGUUGCGACGGUCUUGCUGUGAUGUUGUCACAGCUAAGAGACACUGGGCAAUCUGAGAGAGCGCUACGUGACUGGGCUAGACUUUUGUAAUUGUUGGUCUUGAACGAGGAAUGCCUAGUAAUCGUAGGUCAUUAUCCUGCGAUGAUUAUGUCCCUGCCCUUUGUACACACCGCCCGUCGCUCCUGCCGUGGCUCGUGCCGGUGAAGAGGGGGAGGCAGCGUCAACGGAGUAACAUCUGAUUGUACGUGGAACCCCUCUGAACCUUCGCGAGUAGAGGAAGGAGAAGUCGUAACAAGGUUUUCGUAGGUGAACCUGCGAAAGGAUCAUUAU
rnacentral:rRNA from 2 species